AUUACAGAGAAGGCAACUGCUGAGAACAAAUGGGCCUUCAUUUCAGAAAGUGAAACAUAAUAUCGCUCCUCCUCAAAACAGAGCAUAUAAAAUUAUUUUUAUUAUUUUCUGCCAUUAAGUCAGAUGGCACUGAACUAAACUGGUAAAAAAAAUGAAUAAGAUGAUAUUACAUUUUA